CCCACUCCACGACAGAUGUCUUACAUUUAAAUAACUCGGUACAAGACGUUAGCACUUAAUAAAUAAAUAAAUAGGAACAGUUGGAUUACUUUUUUGUUAAAAGUUCUGUUUAAUUAAAUUUGAAAUCUGAGUACAUUAAAGACUGUAAGACGAGCUUGUGGUAUACUGAAGCUUCCAGACGUUAUUGUUGAGAUUAAAUAGAUACAAAUUGAUUUCACACUGGGAUAUUAAGAUAUAUGGCGACUUAUUGAACGCGAUAGUCACAGUAAUAUUGUAUUUGAAAAAUGUAUAACGUAGAAAUAAUAAAGGUGUUUGGUUAUUUUAGAUAAAUGAAAAAA